rnacentral:SRP_RNA from 1 species
GCUGGGUGUGGUGGCGCAUGCCUGUACUCCCAGCUACUCUGGAGGCUGAGGUGGGAGGAUCACUUGAGCCUAGGAGGUCAAAGCUGCAGUGAACCAAGAUCAUGCCACUGCACUCCAGCCUAGGCAACAGAGUGAGACCCUGCCUCAU